rnacentral:ncRNA from 1 species
GAUUCCGGAGAGGGAGCCUGAGAAACGGCUACACAUCCCAAGGAAGGCAGCAGGCGCGCAAAUUACCCAUUCCCGACGCGGGGAGGUAGUGACGAAAAAUAACAAUGCAGGACUCGUUCGAGGCCCUGUAAUUGGAAUGAGUACACUUUAAAAGCUUUAACGAGUAUCCAUUGGAGGGCAAGUCUGGUGCCAGCAGCCGCGGUAAUUCCAGCUCCAAAAGUAUAUAUUUAAGUUGUUGCGGUUAAAAAGCUCGUAGUUGGAUUUUGGGCGCAGGCGGCCGGUCCGUCGCAAGGCGUGUACUGGACGUCCUGGCCUUCCCUCCGGUUCUCCGCCGGUGCUCUUGACUGAGUGUCGGCGGCGGCCGGAACGUUUACUUUGAAAAAAUUAGAGUGUUCAAAGCAGGCUCUCGAGCCUGGAUAAUGGUGCAUGGAAUAAUGGAAUAGGACCUCGGUUCUAUUUUGUUGGUUUUCGGAGCGCGAGGUAAUGAUUAAGAGGGACAGACGGGGGCAUUCGUACUGUGCCGUUAGAGGUGAAAUUCUUGGAUCGGCGCAAGACGAACGACUGCGAAAGCAUUUGCCAAGAAUGUUUUCUUUAAUCAAGAGCGAAAGUCAGAGGUUCGAAGACGAUCAGAUACCGUCCUAGUUCUGACUAUAAACGAUGCCAACUAGCGAUCGGGGGGCGUUACAUUGACGACCCCUCCGGCAGCUUACGGGAAACCAAAGUCUUUGGGUUCCGGGGGAAGUAUGGUUGCAAAGCUGAAACUUAAAGGAAUUGACGGAAGGGCACCACCAGGAGUGGAGCCUGCGGCUUA